CUCCCGGGAGGCCCCGCCCCUUCACCGCCAGGCCCCGCCCAGCGCGCCCCCUGCCGGCGCGGAGGAGCCGCAGCGCUGCAGCACCGCGCGCACUGCGCAGGCGCGGUCCUAUGUGGCGCGGGGAGAGCCCGGCCGCCCGGCUUGCGCCCCUUUCCCUACGGGGAGAGGCGGGGUGCGGGCUCGCAGCCCCGACUCCGCUCCCGGAGACCCCGGGCGUCCGAGGCAAGCCCACCCCAGGCCCCCGCCAAGCUCGUUAUCUCGUCAUCAUCGUCACUGCGAUCAUUCAUGGCGAUCUGUCAUCGUCGUCGUCAUCGUUGGAUCUCUCCUCAUCGUCGUUAAGAUCCAUCAUCCAGGUCCGUCAUCAUCAUCAUCACUACUUAGAUCUAUCCUCAAUGUCCUCCUCCUCCUCCUCCUCCCCAUUUACAGUAUACAUCAAUAUUAAGUAGGAUUAAUCAUUAAUACAAAUGAAGAUCUAUCAUCAAUAUAAAUCAUCAUCAUCAGUAUAAGUCAACAUUAUUACACAGGAUCUAGCAUGAUCAAAACCGAUCUAUCAUCAUCAUCAAUAUAAAUCGACAAUAAGAGCUAUCAAUCAUCAUUAUUAAAUAACAUCUAUCAGCAUCAUCUUUCAGAUCCAUCAUCAUGACCAUCAUCAUUAAUAUUAACCAAGAUCUAUCGUCUUCAUCGAUAUAAAUCAUCACCAUCACCAGGAUCCAUCAUUAUCAUUAAUGAAAACCCAUCAUCAACGUUAGUAGUAACCCAGAUCCAUCAUCGUCAUCGAUAUAAAUUAUCAUCAUCAAAACUUUCUAUCAUUGUCAUUAAUGAAGACCUCGUCUUAAAAUGAAGUUUACAUCAGGAUCGUCAAUGUAAACCGUCCACACCCUUAUUAAGGACGCUCAUCAUCAUUUACAAGAGAGAUCAUCAUUAAAUGAGUGCUAUCGUCAUGAUUAUUCAUGAAGAUCUAGCAUUGAGAGAGGGUUUAUCGCUCUUAUUAAUAUCGUCAUUCUGGUUCUUACUAUUUAUACUAUAUUAAAAUGAGUAUGCAGAUGA